GACGAACGCUGGCGGCGUGCUUAACACAUGCAAGUCGAACGGUGAAGCGCUUGCCUUUUUGGUGGGUGUGGAUGAGUGGCGAACGGGUGAGUAACACGUGAGUAACCUGCCCUCUUCUUCUGGAUAACCUCAUGAAAGUGGGGCUAAUACGGGGUAUUCCGGGUCUGUCGCAUGGCGGGUUUGGGAAAGAUUGCGCCUUUGGGUGUUUUCGGUGGGGGAUGGGCUCGCGGCCUAUCAGCUUGUUGGUGGGGUGAUGGCCUACCAAGGCGGUGACGGGUAGCCGGCCUGAGAGGGUGGACGGCCACACUGGGGCUGAGACACGGCCCAGACUCCUGCGGGAGGCAGCAGUGGGGAAUAUUGCACAAUGGGCGCAAGCCUGAUGCAGCGACGCCGCGUGAGGGAUGGAGGCCUUCGGGUUGUGAACCUCUUUCGCCAGUGAAGCAGGCCUGCUCCUGUGUGGGUGGGUUGACGGUAGCUGGAUAAGAAGCGCCGGCUAACUACGUG
rnacentral:rRNA from 1 species